CUCGAUAUAGGCAGUUGACUGUUAAUCAAUUGGUCGUAGGUUCGAUCCCUACCGCCGGAGCCA
rnacentral:tRNA from 1 species